AUGCCUGGUCCCAUGGCUCGGUGCCGCUUCCCUCCCCCCGAUCUAUCGACCGUCGUCAUCUCCGAGCUUGGUGAGGAGGGGGUGGGCUCUGGUGCCUCGGUGGUGGACGAGCGCCCUGACGCCUUGGAUGGUGCGGCGGUGCAGCGCCGCAGCGCCCGCUUGGCCCGAACCGAGCCGUCUGGUUUCGUCAGCAUGGAGGAGAAGGCGGUCCGGCGCAAGGCUCUUCGUGAGUCGCUGCUGGGAUGCUCCCCCCGCCUCCAAGGUUGUACGGCCCGGGACAAGCUUCUAGAGGCUGUGGUUCGUCCUCUCAGUAGGAAGGCGGUGGCCGAGCUCCGUACUGCUGCCUCCGUCUCUGCUGCCCCGGUGAACCGCGGCGCCGAUGUGUAG
rnacentral:rRNA from 1 species